AGAGUUUGAUCAUGGCUCAGGAUAAACGCUGGCGGCGCACAUAAGACAUGCAAGUCGAACGGACCAAAACAAUAGUUUACUAAUGUCGAGGUUAGUGGCGGACUGGUGAGUAACACGUAAACAACCUGCCUAACAGAGGGGAACAACAGUUAGAAAUGACUGCUAAUACCGCAUAUGCCUAAGUAUCGCAUGAUACAAUAGGGAAAGGAGAAAUCCGCUGAUAGAUGGGCUUGCGACUGAUUAGCUAGUUGGUAGGGUAGAGGCCUACCAAGGCAACGAUCAGUAGCCGAACUGAGAGGUUGAACGGCCACAUUGGGACUGAGAUACGGCCCAGACUCCUACGGGAGGCAGCAGUCGGGAAUAUUGCGCAAUGGAGGAAACUCUGACGCAGUGACGCCGCGUGCAGGAAGAAGGUUUUCGGAUUGUAAACUAUUGUCGUUAGGGAAGAUAAAAGACAGCACCUAAGGAGGAAGCUCCGG
rnacentral:rRNA from 1 species